rnacentral:rRNA from 1 species
UACGUAGGGUGCGAGCGUUAAUCGGAAUUACUGGGCGUAAAGCGUGCGCAGGCGGUUUUGUAAGUCAGAUGUGAAAUCCCCGGGCUUAACCUGGGAACUGCGUUUGAAACUACAAGGCUAGAGUGUAGCAGAGGGGGGUGGAAUUCCACGUGUAGCAGUGAAGUGCGUAGAGAUGUGGAGGAACACCGAUGGCGAAGGCGACUACCUGGCCUGUUCUUGACGCUGAGGCGCGAAAGCUAGGGGAGCAAACGGG